GUCGACUUUUAAUUAAAUGAAAAAAGUCGAAAAAUCAAAAAAUCGACUUUUCAUAAAAUCCAAAAUGUUGAGAAGUCGACUUUUAACUAAAUGAAAAAAGUCAAAAAGUCCACUUUUCGUUUCAACUUAUUCUAACCCGAUUUCGUUGAGGUGGACAUAAGACCAUUUUCUUCGAGUGUAAAUACCUCUUCAAUUAGAGCAGAUUAGUUAAUCUUAAAAUGAAUUGGUUCUGAUGUUAAUCCCCUUUGAAGAUUUUGAGUACAAGAUUAAACUUUGCAGUGUUGCCAUAACGAACAGCAGAAAAUUUCACUGUUUACACUUUUGCAUUUCUUGCUCAAGUUUCAACCACAUCCAUUGGACGCUUAAACUAGCAAACAAAAUUAGCUAGUUUAAUCCUACACCUAAAGAUUGGCCCUUAAUGUUUACUAAAAUGAAUUUUUAUUUAAAAUUCUUUAGUGUGCAAAUGAUUGCACUUAAUUAAAUCACUGUGAGUGUAAAUGGUGACUACAUUUAUGGAAUGCGAUAUUUCGUUCGUGUUUGAAGUAAAAUAAAAAAAUAAAACAAAAAAAAAAACGUGAGAGAAACGUGAGUAAUUACAAAUUGAAAAAGAGAACAACAUGUUGUCAUCGACAACAAAAACAACAACAACAGCAACACUAUAACAAAGAGCAAGAGGCACAAAAAUUAUUUCAAACUUAAACAUUACAAUUCAGAUACAAAUCGUGAUUCUAUAACGUAACAAGCGACUAAACGAGUGUUAACGGUUAAAAUUUUAUUUAGCGAAUAGCAAAAGAAAAAAAUCUCAAAAAGCAAAAAAAUUUAUAAUUAAAUAAAAGCAAAAAAUUACAACAAAAAGAAAAAGCUUAAGAUACAAAUUAAAUUAAGGCGAAUUUAUAUUUAUGGUUUCGCCUUCAAACUAGAGAUUGAAUAGAAAGAAAAUUUCUUUAAAACAAAAAUAUCUGAUUAAAUUUAUAAUAAAACAAGUUUAUAAUUAAUGUAAAACAAAGGCAUAAAUUGGGAAAUUGUGUUACCAAAAACAAAAAAAAAGCUGUUUGAGAAAAAACAAAACGAAAUAUUUAUUUAUUGAUUUACGAUUUAACCUUACGAAAAACCACGACUUACUUGGUCGUUAAUAAAUUUUUGUGUUUUUGUGAGUGUUUGUCAGUGUUUGUUUUAUUUUAUAUUUUGUUAAAUUUUUUUUUGUGUAAAACGAAGGCGACUAAAUAAGAAAAACGAAAAAAUUUUACCGAUUUUUCAUCAUCAUCAACAUUAACAUUAUCAUCAUCGUAAUUUACAACAACAGAACCCAUCAUAGUGUGGGGUGUAAAAAGCAAAGAGUUCAACAGAAAACUUUUAUCAAGCCAACUAAAAGCGUUUGGUGGUGAAGAAAAAAUCUAAA